ensembl:lncRNA
AGAUGACAUAAGCAGCCAGGUGUUGGCACAUAGGAGAACUGACCUGGGUCCAACCUGACUGCAUACAUCCUCCUGCUACAAAAGAGAUUACCCUGCCUUCUCCUCACACUGUAGCAGCAGAGCAGGGCCCAGGACUCCAGUGCAGUGUGUGUACGUGACUUGAAAGUCCCUUCCUGCUCUAACCGUGGGGCCACAAGAGGCCCUUUCAGAACCACCACAUUCCAAGCUCCUCAGUCAUUAACUCCUGCCUUGCGGUUGCACAGACGUUCCCCAAGCCUGACCUCACCAGCUCCCAGCCAGGGAGCUGGAGGAGAACCCCCGGUUCUGCAGUGACUACUGGGAAGUCACUGUCCCUGGGUUUCUGUGUGUGCUUGGCUCAGUGGCUUCCCAUCAGUGAAUCCAGAGAGUCCCUACCUCUUGAGCUGCAGUGAGGCCAAAGGAAGCAACCGAUGAAAGUUUGCAGUUUUGUAGGUUCUCUGGGCUACUAGGGAGUUGGAGGGUAUUACCUAGCCCAGGCUGGCCUCCAACUUCCUAUGUAGGUAAGGAGGAUCUGCCUUCCAGGUGCUGGGGUCAUAGCUGUGGGACACCACGUUUAGUUUUUUUUUUUUUUUCUUUAAAAAAUUGAGAUAUGCAGUAGUUUUUUGUAUAUCCUAAAUAUAAACUUUGUGAUUUGUAAAUGUUUCUUUUUCAUUAUAUUGUGUUUGUUGAAGGGCAGGGUCAUGAUAUGUAGCCCAGGCUGACCUUUGACUCAUAAUUCUCCUCCUUCCACCUCCCCAAUGAUUGUAUUACAGGCGUAUUCCAUGACAUCUGGCUCUUAGCUGUCUUCACAUUUUUUAUUAUAUUUGUAUUUAUUUUGUGGGCAUAGCUAUUGUGUGGAGGUCAGAGGACAACCUGAGAGAGUUGUCCUCUCUGUCCCUCCUUCCAUCAUAUGGAUCCUAGGGACUGACUGAACAAAGAUCAUCAGGCAGAAGAGCAGGCUCCUUUAUCUGUUGAGCUAUCUCACUGGGCCCUUCCUAUAAACACAGGCACACACACACACACACACACACACACACACACACACACACACACACACUUUGGAUAUGGUGGCACACACCUUUAACCCAGUACUCCAGAGGCAGAGGCAGGCGGAUCUGUUUAUAAAGUUCAGAUUUUCUGGUCCUCAUUUUCUCAUGCCUCAAGUUCUGGAAUGCUAGAAUUACACGUAUGUAUAACUAUGCCUGGGAUUAUAUGUAUGUGUCACUAUGCUUGGGAUGAUGUCCUUUUGUUGUUGUUUGUUUUAUUUUGGAGACAGGAUCUCAUGUAUCUCAGCCUGGUCUCAAACUUGCACACAGCAAAGGCUGGCCUUGAACAACUGAUUCUCCUACCCCAAGUCUUCCAAAUGCCGGGAUUACAGCCCUGGUUUUGACACCCAGCUUGAUUAUGCCCAUUUUUCUUUUCACUACAGGGUCUUACCAGGUAAUUUUGGUUGGCUUGGAGCUACCAUGCCCAGCUAUGAUGUCCUUUUGAUGCACAAAAGUUCAAAUUUUUUGCUUAACUCAAUUUAUCUUCUAUUUUUUUCAUUUGUUGAUGAUGUUUCUGAC